CUAGAUCUAACAUGAUAUUGCAGUAUUGCACUGAUUUUUUUGUCGCAGAGUUUCUCUAUGAAUGCCUAAAAGUUAAAGACACGUCAUGGAAUAAUUAUUUUCUUAAAGACCAAAUUAACAUAAUUCUUGACUCAUUUAUAAAACAACAUUUAUCAUAUAACAGCUCAUAUAUGAAUCAAUUACCUUGAGCAGUAGCAAACAAACAAGAAUCUCAACCACAUCACGAGAUCGCCCACGUACUGUUAUCCAAAACAACAUUGUUAUAAUUAUCAUAAUCCCUUCUGACCUUAACAAUAAUUCUAUUCGUCCUUUCAUAGGUAUAAGUAUCCCAAAAUAUACCUGAUGUCAACCUUUACAAUUCUUUAGAGAAUUGCAGCAGACCAAAAGAAAGAUUUUAAUAAUUUGUAUGCAAAACUGAAAUCAUACAGUAAUUGAUACAGUGAGAAUAGACAUGCUGGGAAUUAGUAUAUAUGAAUAUCUUAAUAAUUUAAAAGUUUCUUAAACUGAUUUUACAUAUCUGAAAAAUUAUAGAAAUCGGAACAGCUGCAGAAAUCAUAAUUUUCCAGCGAAUGUGUUACAAAUUCGGAAAUUCAUAAGUAAUUAAAUUCUUGGGAUCACAUAAUAAUUCAAUAGAAAGCUUAAGAUGUCUAGUUUAUAAAAUGAGAUGUAUGGAAUUUUUUUUUUUCAAUGAUAUGUAUGGAAUUUAAGAGAUUCAGCAGUACUUUCAUUAUAUUAAUUCUUCAAAAAAUCAUGUUGCAAACAAUCACCAAUCUAACAUUCAACAAAAUUAAGUCGUAAAAAUCAUGUGGUUUAUUAAAAGAAUUACCUCAAACAGAUUAGCCUUCCCCUUUCAAAAGCAGCGUGAAACUCCAAAAACUCUUCUUCCAUAACCCAUUCAAACAUGAAGAAACAAAUUAGUAUCUCUUCUUUAAAUGCGCGAUGUGUGUGCCCUGUUUUCUCUCUUAUUCUUUUUCUUUUUUAGAUUUUGAAAAUGCAAAGAAUGCAGGAGUCCUUAUUUUCUUAAACAAGACUCAAUUAAAUUAAAUUAUGGCCUAAUGCUGUGUCAAUUCCAUCAUCAGUAUUUUUUUUUUCCUUGUAACAUAAUCCAUAUUUGGACAAUUUGAA
rnacentral:lncRNA from 1 species